rnacentral:rRNA from 1 species
AUUGAACGCUGGCGGCAGGCCUAACACAUGCAAGUCGAACGAGUGGCGGACGGGUGAGUAAUGUCUGGGAAACUGCCCGAUGGAGGGGGAUAACUACUGGAAACGGUAGCUAAUACCGCAUACCAUCGGAUGUGCCCAGAUGGGAUUAGCUAGUAGGUGGGGUAACGGCUCACCUAGGCGAUGAUCCCUAGCUGGUCUGAGAGGAUGACCAGCCACACAGGAGCUCGGACACGGUCCAGACUCCUACGGGAGGGAGCAGUGGGGAAUAUUGCACAAUGGGCGCAAGCGUGAGGCAGCCAUGCCGCGUGUAUGAAGAAGGCCUUCGGGUUGUAAAGUACUUUCAGCGAGGGGGCGUUACUCGCAGAAGAAGCACCGGCUAACUCCGUGGCAGCAGCCGCGGUAAUUC